rnacentral:lncRNA from 1 species
ACCAUACAGGGGAACACUCGGCAGAGCCAGAGGCCUGGGCCCAAGUCCUGCCACCAGCUGGCUGUGAAACUGUGGUACAGCACCUUGUGUCCUGCCACCAGCCGGCUGUGAAACUGGUACAGCACCUUGUCCUCAGGUCCUUGGUUUCCUCACUUGUAAAUUCAUGGUUCUCCAUGGCAUCUCUGGUCUUCAACAUUAUUUUGCAUAGAGUCUCAGAAGCUUUAGUGUGAGCGGAUGAUAUGGGCACGAAGCAAGGCACCCAGAAGUGGGGGCAACUACUCUGCUUUCUAAAAUGCAAGGGAACCGGAAAAUCCAGGAGCCGUGCCAAAUGAGAAGAGGAACAAAUGGAGGAACAUCCCAGUCAAGUGACAUUCCUAGUGACAUUCACCAGAACAGAGUCAAGCUUUGGAUCCCAUGUUCUGUGACUUCCUCUUCACCACGCUUCCUCCACACACGUAGCAGCUCAAGGGUUUCUGAUGAGUGGGGUCUAUGUUCCCUUUAUGAGCUGUAACGCACACCAUGAAGGUCUGCGGCUUGGCUAUUGAGUCAGUGAGAGCGUGAACCUACUAUUAGAAGAAAAACUCUGAAUACGUCUGAACGUCAGAAAGAACGAAGUUUGGACACAUUGUCUUUAAGAACUGUAACACUCACCCCAAGGGUUUAUGGAUUCAUUCUUGAAAUCAGUGAAACCAAAAGCUUUCCAAAGUUUAACACACAGGGAAAUGACUUACUGCAAAGAACCACUCUUCCCCACGAGACUUCGAGAAGACCCGCUGUCACGGACUGAGUUGUGUCCUCUUAAAAUUCAGAUGUUGGAGUCCAAACCCCCAGUAACUCAGAGUGUGAACGUAUUUGAAGAGGUCUUUAAAGAGGUGAUGAAGGUCUUUGUCUCUGACAAUUUGCCUCUGUGACGUGGAUGGGACUGGAAGUCCAUUUGGAGCCCUGUCUUCUCCACCUAGGGAGAGAGACCCCAUGAGCUCGUCAAGCUCCUUCUGUGACUGAUCAGAGAUCCCACCGUGAGUCCAGCUCCUGGUCCCAUGCUCUGGAUAUAUCGGUCCCUGGCAGCGUGCAGUCUUCUUUCCACCAAUGACCCCUCGCGCUGCUUCCAGAAGCCAAGAAAGUGGGCUUUGUCCUUGGGGAUUUAGGAGGCGGAGCGGCGCCCCCUUGAGGCCACAUGGUGGAGGCAGCGAUGAGACCUGGAGUCUAAAAUUCAGACUGAAUCACAGGAAGAAGCUAUUUACACAAGUCAAACAUGGUCCAAUCUUGGCAAUUUCAUAAGGUUCCAAUCCUUAAGGGAUCAAAACCUGGCCAACUGCUUCCACCGAGAGGUGUGCCUUUCAAUGCCAGGCUUGGAGUGUCCCUCUUUAUUUAAAAAGGAGAGGAUUCCACAGCAGAGCUUCUCAAACUCUUCCACCCAAAUCCCCUCACCACAGAGGGACAGGAGUCCUGGGCAUGUAGCCUAAAGCAGCCAGGAGAAAAAAACCUUGACCUUAAUUUUUUUAAUGAUUUCACAUGAAUCAGUGGAAUGUGUUUAUGAUAAAAUCAUCUCCUCCUGAAAUACAUGUGUAAAACUGCUGCCCCAGUUAAACGCACUUAGUCUAACCAAGCCCUAGGAUUGGCCUCUCCAGCAUGAGAAGCAUUUCCAGCACUCCAGCUCCCCAGCUCCCACUCUGGGAUCCCACCUCAGACCCUCCCACUUCCUUGCACUCUGGCCUCUCGCUCUUGACCCUGCUCCCGCCACGCUCUUUCCUCAGAGUCCAUCAGUCCUGUCUUGUCUUCACCUUGGUCUCUGCCAAGUGUGGGUCCAAGUCAUAUAUUUGGGCUGUGAUCACAGGAACCCCAAGCCCCAGACCUCCCAAAGCACCCUAUGGAGAGACCUUACCCUCCUGGACAGACCCUCUCCCCCCAGCUAGACCUCAUCCUCUGGGUAGACCCAUCUCCCCAACCAGAACUCACCCUCCUGAGUAAACCCCAUCCCCCUAGCUAGACUUCAUCCUCCUGGACAGAUCCCAUCCCCCCAGCUAGACCUCACCCUCUUGGGUAGAUGCAUCUCCCCAACCAGAACUCUCCUGGGUAGACCCCUUCUACCCAGCUAGACCUGAUCCUCUGGACAGACCCCAUCAUCCCAGCUAGACUUCUCCCUCCUGGACUGUCCCCAUCCCCCCUCCAGCCAGACCUCACCCCUCUGGGUAGACCCCAUCCCCCCAACUAGACCUCACCCUCCUGGAUGGACUCUACCCUCCUGGAGAUACCUUCCCCUCCUGGGUACAUCCCACGUGGCUACACACUCCUUCCCCUGUCAGCUUUCUCCCCCAGGGUUCUGGGCAGCAGAGUCUGUGAUAAAGGAUACUAAGUGAUUCCCCAAUACUUCCCGUUUCCAGCCUCCAGUGGGCUCUCCCUGGGGCUAACGGUUCUUUUUGCUAUUUCUCCAGGCUUUGCCUGAUGACAAGUAUACUCUGAGAGUGUCCUAAUGAUACAGAUUUUGGACCCUAUCCCAGUUCUACUGAAUCCAAGUCUCUGGGGGAGGAGUUGGGGCUCUGCAUCUGGACACCUUCCUGCAGGGUCCCUCCUGGGAGGCAAGCCCGGGGAGCACCGCUGAGGCUCGCCUCAGUGCCCAUCCUAGACCUUCAGCAGCUAGCAGAGGAUGUCCCCACCAUCCCUCAGCCCACACUCCCACUGUCGCCCCAGCCAGGCUUGGCACUGCCUCCUUUCUCAGAAGAUUAAGACCAUCUGCUGUUUCCCAAGUUUCCCACCCUCCACCCUAAAAAUUUCUCCGUUUCCCAGUCUUUCCUCGUCUCUCAGAAAAUAAACAUCUUCCCAGGCUGCCUCCCCAGUGGGUCUGCACUCCUUGCUGUCUUCCCAGCACCUGCCCUUCCAGCCCGCCCUCUGUGUGUCCAGUGUUUCCCUCACCAAAGGACUCGCUUUGUUUUUCAAAUUGGAGGUUUUGUCUUCUCCCUAAAAACCAAAACAUCUCCCUGAGAAGUAACUCCCUCAAGCUACUGAUACGGAAGGGGGGCGGGGAAGUGCUGGGAAGGGAAGGGUGUGGUCCCUGGCUAGGGCUCCACCCCCGGGCCUGUGCCCACAGACCUAGGUGAGGACAGGCAUUUCUGUUUUCGUGCUUAAAUGUUGGAUUUCCCAAGACUACCCUGGCCUACCACACCCUCAUUCUGUGCCUGUAAAAAAACCUGAGAGCUUAGCAGGCACGCACACAAGCCUCUGGACGUCAAGAGGAACACACCGGUGUAAGAGCAGACUGAUAGUGGCCCACGGCAGGCUGGCAGGCCAUCGACAGGCAGAACCACUCAGUGCAGCUGGAGGACAGCCUGGCCACGGAGCGGUCCGACUUCAGAGGGGAAAACCACCUCCCCACUCCGUCUCCCUUCUGGCUCCCCCAUCUGAGAGCUACUUCCACUCAAUAAAACCUUGCACUCAUUCUCCAAGCCCAUGUGUGAUCUGAUUCUUUUGGUGCACGGAGGCAAGAAACCUCAGGAUACAGAAAGCCUCUGUCCUUGGAAUAAGGCAGGAGGUCUAACAGCUGACUAGGGAUGGCUCAACUGAAACAGCAUCCUGUAACACAGGCCCAUUGGGACCUCAGGAGCUGUAAACAUUCACCCUUAGACAUUGCUGUGGGGUUGGAGCCCCACCACCUGCCCAUCUGCAUGCUCCCCCUACAGGUUUGAGCAGCGGGGCACAGAAGAAGCCAGCCACACCUCCAUCGCAAGCCCUGCCACGGGGAUAAGGGAACUUUUCCCGUUUUGCCACCAGCUCAAGCCCCGCCUUCCUGUCACUCCACACUCUUCAUCUCUGUGUAUGGGUGUGGUCUUCCUCAGUUCCUUCUCUGGCCUCACACAGUGCCCUGAAUAAUGCUUUGCAAGGCCUUUGCCAGGAGCCUAGGUGAAAGGCAGAAGAGGUGCCCCUGCAGCAUCGCAAGGUAGAGAUCGUGGUUACAAGAUGGGGACUAGACUCCCAGUUUGCCCUUGGACUGGGCAGCCCCUUGGAUUUUGUUUUCCCUGACGUUGCUGUUCUGAUCCAAGGCCUUGUGGCCUCGCUACAGACACCCAAGGCCAGGCCUAUCUUUGCAUGAAUAACUAAAGAAAGCCUAGAGGAUGAGUAAAAUGACCACACUGUAUGGCUUUGGAGGACUGGAAGUUACUGAGGACUAUGAGUGGGUUUUUUGCAUAGACUGCAGUAAAGGUCCUCAGAAAAGACCCUCAAGAGCUAUGGGGGGGUCUGGUCAAAUGCCACUUCUAGACUGGACUCCAAAACUGGUGCUGAUUAUUUUCACUCCUACCCCACCCACCAGCCUGAUAGGCGAUUCCUGAAGUAGCAGUGGGGCGCUCAGUGGUGCUCACCAGGCCCAGAGCUCAGUCCUUCCCCCAUUCUGCCUGAUGGGGCUUGUGUAACCAAGGAUGACAGAUGGGACAAUCCCUGUUGGUAAAGACUGAGUUGAUUCUGACCAGGACCAGAGAUAAAACCCAGCACCUUUAUCUUUCCCCUUUGUACCUUCUUCAGAAAGACCUUCUUCUGCAGCAGUUCUGGAACUGUGAUCUGUGAGGUGUGGUUGCAAGAAUUCUUUAUUUUUUUAUUUUAUUUUUUUCAGACAAAGUCUCACUCUGUCGCCCAGGCUGGAGUGCAAUGGUGCGAUCUCGGCCCACUGCAACCUCCGCCUCCCAGGUUCAAAUGAUUCUCCUGCCUCAGCCUCCUGAGUAGCUGGGAUUACAAGCAUGUGCCUCCACGUCCAGCUAAUUUUUGUAUUUUUAGCAGAGACGGGGUUUCAUCAUGUUGGUCAGGCUAGUCUCAAACUCUUGACCUCAUGAUACACCUGCCUUGGCCUCCUGAAGUGCUGGGAUUACAGGCGUAAGCCACCACGCCUGGCCUGGCAAGAAUUCUUUUAUAAAGAAUUCUAGGUCUAUUAAACCCAGAUUCUUCAACUAGAACAGGCACACAGGAAAAAGGUUCACUAAAAACCCUGUUCUCUUGCCUCAUUUUGGUGAUUUCCAGCUAGGCUGUUGGGAUAGGCAUAUGUAAGUGUCACUUCCAUCUUUUCAUAGGUAUCUCACAGAAUCUCUGACCAAUGGAGAGCUAAUCAAAGACAAGUUUAAUAGGUGAAG